rnacentral:rRNA from 1 species
UACGUAGGUGACAAGCGUUGUCCGGAUUUACUGGGCGUAAAGAGCGCGCAGGCGGUCGUUCAAGUCGAGUGUGAAAGCCCCCGGCUCAACUGGGGAGGGUCACUCGAUACUGAUCGACUCGAAGGCAGGAGAGGGAAGUGGAAUUCCCGGUGUAGUGGUGAAAUGCGUAGAUAUCGGGAGGAACACCUGCGGCGAAGGCGGGUUGCUGGGCUGACACUGACGCUGAUGCGCGAAAGCCAGGGGAGCGAACGGG